UGUUGGUAAGUGGACAUGUUAUAUUUGGAAUGCAAGUUAUGAUCAUUUGCAUAUUAAAAGGUUACUUAUUAGCAUAGAAUUACUGUCAAGUUUGAAAAAGGGCUUCUGCCUGUAUAUUUAAAGGAUUGCUUCAGCAUCUGGCAAAAGCAUGGGGAUUUCGGAUUCUACUUUAUUGUCAAAAAGAGAGAUAAGAAAAAGUGUAUUGAUAUCCCACUCAUUUGCAACUUCACUUCUUUUUUUUUUUUUUUUUUUUUUUAACGAGGUGUCCCAACUUGCGCCAGAUUAAAUCUUCGUCCCUGAACCUCCGGCCUCUCAGCUACUCAGGGAGGUAAAUCGCAGGUUGUGCCCUUGUUGGUUUCCAGGUUCCCACAUAGCUUUUACUCCUUCUCCAAAGGAUUCUCCUCCAUGGUUAUUACAUCACCAAGCUGCUCCAACCCUUCCUCUGGUUAUUACAUCACUUGGCUGCUCCAAUCAGGAAUCGAACUCCCCACACUUGGUUCCAGAACCCCCCAAUGUGAUUGUUCCAUCAACUUGGAUGUGUCCUGAGGGGCCCCACUCAUUUGCAACUUUAUACAUUUAUCGGGACCAUUAUGAGCCUCUAUUUUAGGUUAUGGGUUUCAGUAAUUAAAGAAAAAGAUAACUUUUAGGAAAAACACGAGUUUAUGUUAGCUUUCAUUGAAAAACAUCAGAAAAUAAGUAUACAUAGAUAAGUACGUGGAAUUUUUUUAUUUGUGUAUAUGGUUCGGUUUUUUUUUCUUCCAUGAUGUUCAAUUAUGUUUGAACAAUUUUACAUCAGUUUUUCUUCUUUCUUUCCUGACGAAAUCUUGAUCCUGCAAAGUCUAAAACUAGGAUCGUUAAGUAAUUAAAAGAAUAAAAUAAAAUCAGACAUUUCUAUGCAAUUUGAUUCUUCAUCUGAGUUAAACUUUUUUUUUUUCCCUGAGUAUCAUUCGCUUUUGAACAAAUUUGGGACGUCUAUAUUGCAUCAUUUUAAUAACAUAGGACUUCGAAUUUCACACGAAUUUGGAAUCAAAUCUUUCUGAAGUCUCAUUUAUUAUGCUGAUUUUAUGGACUGGCUAUCUUUUGUUAACUAGUUUCCUUGUAUAGCUGAACGUUCAGUCUUACUCUCUCUUUGUUCAUUAGAUUGUUACAGAGGAACUAACCCUAAAUUAGUAGAAUAUAGCUUGUUUAAUACGCUUAUCCUCAGAGUUCCUUCGGAAAAAUUUAUACUGAAAAAUCACCAUCACUGAUGCUAAAAAUUAUAGAAGGAUAGGCAACAAAAUUCACCAGAAUGCUGAACUUAAAACUCUACUAAACUUGAAUUGCCAAUAACUGGGAAUUUCGUAGUUUUACAUGCAACUUUUCAACUAUCUUGUCCACUUCAAGUAUCAAGCAUAUUAAUUCUGGUUCGUCAAAAUUUGUAGUAAGUCUGCUAAGCUGAUUUUUCUUCUUGAUUAGAAGUUUCCUUCAAGCUCUAAUGAUCCUUUGUUAAGAAAUAGAACCUUUAACAUCAUCAUAAAUAUGUUGUGAAUGAGUAUAUUCUCAUUGUAGAGGUCGUUUGUAUUUGCCUUGAUAUGCCCAUAUGGGUACUUUCGGUCUCGCUACCUGAGAAGAAGUUUCCCAUAACAGAAAAGGAAUAGGAGAACUUAUUUGAAUAAUUUUAUAAUCAAGAAACUAAGACGUAAAACUUGGAAACUUAAAAAAGUAUACAGUUGUUUGAGUUUCUUUUAGAUGUACUCCCCCUUUUGUAAAUUUUCUUGAUCCUUCGACUGGUGUCCUCUUCUGGACAUCAGUUGUUCCUAUUUGUGAAUAGUUUUUUUUCAAUUUUUUAUUUCUUAUCGUUAAGGGAAAUGAGAGUUAAGUUUCUUGCAUCUCUCUUCUGUGGGCCCAUUUGAUUAGCACUGACUAAAAAGAACUUGAAUGCAUAUCCUGUUGACUUUUCUUUCGAAAGAUGCAGAUUAUUGUUUGAACUUGUUACUUAUACAAAUGAAUUUACAAUUUGGUAGUUAAGUUUAAUUUGAUUUGAUUGAUAGGAAGAAAAUGUGUAAAUUUUUAUCAUAGCAGGUAAAUGAGAACCAAAGAAUUAAUAGAGAUGCGGGAACAAGUGGACAGACGAUGAUAGAGGAAGUUCAAGAAUGCGAUGAAUCUUCAUUGAAUGAUUCUAUAUUUUUUGGGCUUUUUAGGCAUCCAAACCACCCUUGCAACUAUCUCGGGCUGGAUAAACAAGCUCUUUUGAAGUGUUUCAGCUUAGAUUCGAGAACCGAGGGCUCGAGCAAUGAAAAACACAAAAGAUAAGAUUGAUGCAUCUCGUUAUAGUCCAUAAAAAAGAUUAGACAGCAAGUACAAAAUCUUGGGUUGAACAUUGGCCAUGGACAGUUAAACAAAGGAAAUGUAGAUCUCUUCAAUCUGUACGUGACAAGUAUGGAAUGUAUAUUGCGCCAUGCUAGCUUCACAUUAGUGUUGAGUAUAUUUAACCAAUGGCACUUACAAACAUCGAUUCUUAAUGUAGUUGAACUGUUAAACUUUGUUUACCUCUUUUAUACAUUUCACUUUGGAGUAAUUAUUCAUUUCAAAUGUAUAGUUUAUUUUUUCUUCUAGG